GGGGGCGAAUGCGUCCCGGUGGGCGUCCCGGUCUUCAAAACCGUUGGCAGGCUGCGUGACAGGCUGCGGUGGGUUCGACUCCCAUUCGCUCCCG
rnacentral:tRNA from 1 species